rfam:Ictidomys tridecemlineatus contig020639, whole genome shotgun sequence.
GGGGUUGUGGCUCAGUGGUACAGCGCCCGCCUAGCAUGCAUGAGGCACUGGGUUCGAUUCUCAGCACCACCU